AAGUCAAAUAAAUAAAUCUGUUUCUUUUCUGGGCAGAGCCGGCGAGUUUCCUUUGCCAAUCCAAUCUAUCAGGAAGAAUUGGCAGAUGAUAUUGAUAGGCGAAGCCCUGCCGUUAGAAAUCAUUCUUCAAAUGGGUCUCCGUCUUCCCGAAGCAUUAAACCUUCUUCUAAUCAUCAAACCAAGCCUAUUACCACUCCAACCAAAGGACCCCUCUCCCCCGGAUCUCGUAGCCAUAAAUAUAAGAGCUCAAAGAAGUGUUUAAUCAGUGAAAUGGUCAAAGAAACUCUACCGUCUCCUACAGAAAGCAUAUAUCCAGCGCUGCAGGGUUGUAAGGCACCUGUUGACACCAUUUUGCCUCAGAUUACAUCAAAUAUUUGGUGAGUAGCAAGCACCAGGUUUGAUUCACAAAUGUUUAUGGCUAAUAUUGUGUUGCCAUUUCUUCUCAUGGUGCUCACAGCAUACUUAUUCACAGGAAGGUUAUACUCUUGAGCCACAAAAAGAACUAGUACCAGAUGAUGUCUUCUGUUGCGGAACACUUACAGAAGAAGAAAAAACCCACCAGAGUUUUCUUGGUGUAUUAUCUAGAUGGAAUUUUGAGUCUAGCCUUGCAGUUUUCAUAAGAGGAUGGAAAGUAGACUGUUGGUACAUUCUCCUUCAGUGGGGGAAGACAUCCAGAUUGGCUAGGGGCAGGGUUCAGUUGGAGCAGGAGCGCACAGGAGCGGCGCUCUGCCAGUUAACAAGUUGACUCUCUAAGUCCAGUCUUUUGGCUGAGAAGUUUUUCCGGAGAACUUCUGUUUGGUGAUAGGGACCUAGAAAAAGUUAUUUUAGAGACCAAAGAGAAUAGGAAGGCCAUGCCAUCAACGUCAAGGAUAAGGAUGGUAGAGUGACAUAAUUUCAUUCCUUUACUAAGUAAAGGGCACCAAUGCGAGGCAGGGAGAACAAGGGUUUCAGAGGCUCCUGCUCUUCAGGAUACUGAUCCAGAUUCCAGCAAAGUUCAUCAGGGCAAGAGAUGCCAACACAGCAAACAAGGACACCAGGACCACCAUGGAGGUGUUUGCAGUACAUGGUUCCUGAUAAACAUUCAGAAAAGUCAGAUCACUGAAUCCAGAUGCUUAG